UAUAGAGGGUGAGUCAAUGUUUGCUAAAUGAAUGGAUGAAAGAAUGGAAACAUGCAUAAUUUGGUAGUUAUAAAUGAUAAUUGAGAGGAAUGCCUUUCAUAGUUUCCAUGAAAAGGUGUUUUCUAUGAAGAUGCUUCUGCCUGUCUCUGCCUCUGGAAAUGUUUGGCUCAACUGCAUCCUCCCUCUUGGGGACACUUCUAAGAUCCUAAUUGUCCUCUGUUCUGGUCUUAGCACCCAGGAGCACUGCCUUCACUUGAGUCUAUUGGCCUCAUUCCAGGUUCUGAACACACGGCCUACACGUCUAAGACUGUCUUAGUCCGCUCUGGCUGCCAUAACAAAAUACCACAGACUGGAUGUCUCAAACAACAGGGACCUAUUUCUUACAGUGCUAGAGGCUAGGAGAUCCAAAAUCAAGGUGUUAGCAAGAGCGGAAGAGAAGGAGAGAAACAUCAAUGCACGCUUGCCUUUCCUGGGUCCCCUGCUGGAAACUGGCCUGCAGGGAACCAGCCUGCAACCCUGGCAUGUGCCCUGACUGGGAAUCAAACCGCGACUGUCUGGUCCGCAGGCCCGUGCUCAAUCCACUGAGCUACACCAGCCAGGGCUGAAGAUUCUUAUUUUGAGACAAUGAGAAAUCAAGGAAACAUUCCCAUCUGCCGUCUUGGACACAGCUUGUCUUCUGAGCUUGAACCCCAGUCCUGUCCUGACAGUAUGAAACUUCAAGGGUGGUAGCUGUGACGACAACACUGAGGAAAGAGUCAGAAGCAUCCUGCUGCGUGUCCUUGGGUGAUUCACGUCAGCUCUCUGGGCCUCUGUUUCUCUACUGCAAAUGCAGGAACGAUGGGCCUAGAGCACAUCAGGGUUUCCACCUUCAACCAUUUAUAAAGCACCGGCUUGAGUGUCCUAUGGCAGGAGCACCUGCCCUUUAAUUUGCUUUUCUGUGAUUGGCAUGCACCCAAUUUCUUUCUUUCCUUUUCUGGUUCUGGGUGCACCUGUGCUGUCUGGGUGCACCCAGAACCAGGUGUCCUCGGAGGUCUCAACCUCUGCCUGAAGGGGACAGUCACUUGGGCUCAUAAAUUCAAGGUGCUUGCUACCUACACCCUAACCCAGAAUCUAACAGAACGUGUCCUCCUGGCAACGUGCCCAUCGCAAGGACGCUCCAAGCAGAUGCCACAAGCUCUUCGGUGUGCUGGUAUCGCCCUUCCUUGGACUGUGGACGGGACACCCGUCGUUGGUUCAUUUGAAAUUUUCUAACCAUGUGUUUCCUUUCUCCUUCCAGUUCUAAGGCACUUAAGUAAAAAAAAAACAAAAACAAAAACAAAAAACAAUCAACCCUCCCUUGUUCCCACACAUUUUGGAGCAGACACUUAACAUCAUAGCCUUCCCUUUAACACCCUGUCUGCUGCCCCUCCCCUAUGACAGAAGGUUGCCCGCCAACAUAGUUGCUCUUUAAAUGCAGGUGAGUGGAAACUCAUCUCCUUCGGAGUACUUUGUGAACCCCAUGACACUUACGAUGGACAGUGCUAUGAACCGGCCAGCCCCCUCGGACUGCCUCCUGGUACAUGACUCCGGGAAGUGCCUGGGUAGGUGACUGCCCCCUCGGGGGGCAAGAUUCCCACUGACAGCUGGAUGGCUCCCUGGAGGGCUGGGACUGAGUGCGGGGCUCCGGUUUCUCCUUCAAACUCAUCCACUCCCUGUCUACAGUGCAGUCAGAACUCUGGACGGUGCCAGGUGGGUACUGAACUCCCCGGAGUGAUCACUUUGUAAGGUGUAUAAAUGUCUAGUCCCUCUGUUGUGCCCCUGGAGCUAAUAUGAUAUUAUAUGUCCACUGUAAUUGAAACAUACAUUUAAAAAAGUAAGCAUCUACACGGGUCUGGAAAUAAAAUCAAGGUUAGUUAAGUUGCAAAUAAUAACAGUUAAGGAUUGGGGCAAAAUUAUAAAAUGUCUUUUUAUUUUUUGCUCUGUUGUCUUAAAAUGUAAUGUUCCUUUAUGAUACCUUCUUAGUUGAUUUCAAAAAUAUGAUAUAUAAUUUAAAAAAAAAAUAAAAUUAAAAAAGGAAGGUCCCAACAUUACGAGGAGCAUCCUCAUCUUUUGUGGCCACUGCUGCAUCCUCACACACCUGGAAGUGUGCCUGGCUCUGGCUUACAGACUCUCAACAAAUGUUUGUUGAAUGAAUACAUUCUGUAGUUACCUCUUUGAACUCUAAGUUCUGCGAGGCAGGGACCAUUUCUGUUUUAUUACCUCUGUAAGUCUUCAUACUGAGCAUAUAGUAUGUAAUCAAUAAAUAUCUACUGAAUCGAGUUGUUCCUAGGAUGUUGCUGAUUAAUUCCUCAACCGCGUCAGUGUGGCCAAGAAGUUAGCGGCAGGGCUUCAGAGUCAGGCAGUCCUGCGUGUGAGUACUGACUCAGAUGUUUUCUCUCUGAGGAUCUGUGGCAAGGACUUCAACUCUGUGGCAAGGACUUCAACUCUGUGGCUCUCUCCUUCCUUUGGGAAAGAGAAGGAAGACAAUACCCCCCAAGGCACUUCAACCACAGGUUGUUGAGAGGAUUAAAUG